UCUCUGCAAUCAAGCUGUUCUUGUUAGUGCCUGCAGAUAAAAGACAAAAGUAACACUCAAGAUGUUUUUCAGCUUGACAGGAUGACAUUUUUCCAGAUCCCUUGCAGCCUUGUAAUGAAGGUGGAAUCAAAUGAACUGAUUCAGAGGUCAACUGGAUCCUUGAAGGUCUUCUGAGGCUUCUUGAAAAAAAAGAAAAAAAAACAAUUAAUGACAACAUCUCUCUCAGGAACCAUUCUGCUAAGUUGAUUGUGUAGUCACACAGUGGCUCUGUUCACAACCUGACAUUAGCAAGCAUCUCGGGUGACACAUAUGGCCAUAUACUUUUAUUACAGGAUUCGUUAAAAAAUGAA
ensembl:lncRNA